rnacentral:rRNA from 1 species
CCUGCGGGUGGCAGCAGUGGGGAAUAUUGGACAAUGGGGGCAACCCUGAUCCAGCCAUGCCGCGUGUGUGAAGAAGGCCCUCGGGUUGUAAAGCACUUUCAGUGAGGAAGAACGCCUGGUGGUUAAUACCCAUCAGGAAAGACAUCACUCACAGAAGAAGCACCGGCUAACUCCGUGCCAGCAGCCGCGGUAAUACGGAGGGUGCGAGCGUUAAUCGGAAUUACUGGGCGUAAAGCGCGCGUAGGUGGCUUGAUAAGCCGGUUGUGAAAGCCCCGGGCUCAACCUGGGAACGGCAUCCGGAACUGUCAAGCUAGAGUGCAGGAGAGGAAGGUAGAAUUCCCGGUGUAGCGGUGAAAUGCGUAGAGAUCGGGAGGAAUACCAGUGGCGAAGGCGGCCUUCUGGACUGACACUGACACUGAGGUGCGAAAGCGUGGGUAGCAAACAGGAUUAGAUACCCUUGUAGUC